GAUGAACGCUGGCGGCGUGCCUAAUGCAUGCAAGUCGAGCGAACAGACGAGGAGCUUGCUCCUCUGACGUUAGCGGCGGACGGGUGAGUAACACGUGGAUAACCUACCUAUAAGACUGGGAUAACUUCGGGAAACCGGAGCUAAUACCGUAUAAUAUAUUGAACCGCAUGGUUCAAUAGUGAAAUACGGUUUUGCUGUCACUUAUAGAUGGAUCCGCGCCGCAUUAGCUAGUUGGGAAGGUAACGGCUUACUAAGGCAACGAUGCGUAGCCGAACUGAGAGGGGGAUAGGCCACACUGGAGCUGAGACACGGUCCAGACGACUAAGGGAGGCAGCAGUAGGGAAUCUUCCGCAAUGGGCGAAAGCAUGACGGAGCAACGCCGCGUGAGUGAUGAAGGUCUUCGGAUCGUAAAACUCUGUUAUUAGGGAAGAACAAAUGUGUAAGUAACUAUGCACGUCUUGACGGUAACUAAUCAGAAAGCAACGGCUAACUACGUG
rnacentral:rRNA from 1 species